GACGAACGCUGGCGGCGUGCCUAAUACAUGCAAGUAGGACGCAGUUGCGAACGGGUGAGUAACGAGUAGGUAACUACCUAUUAGAGGGGGAUAACUAUUGGACAAGUUAGCUAAUACCGCAUACUAGGUGAUGGACCUGCGUUGUAUUAGCUAGUAGGUAGGGUAAUGGCGUACCUAGGCAACGAGACAUAGCCGUCCGGAGAGGGGUAUGGGCGACACAGGGACCGAUACACUGCCCAGACUCCUACGGGAGGCAGCAGUAGGGAAGCGUCGGCAAUGGUGGGAACCCUGACCGAGCAACGCCGCGUGAGUGAAGAUGGUUUUCGGAUCGUAAAGCGCUGUUGUUAAAGAAGCGGUACUUAGCCAGAAAGGGACGGCUAACUACGUGCCAGCAGCCGCGGUAAUUC
rnacentral:rRNA from 1 species